rnacentral:rRNA from 1 species
CAGUCAGUACGUCAAACAGCAAGGUAUUAACUUACUGCCCUUCCUCCCAACUUAAAGUGCUUUACAAUCCGAAGACCUUCUUCACACACGCGGCAUGGCUGGAUCAGGCUUUCGCCCAUUGUCCAAUAUUCCCCACUGCUGCCUCCCGUAGGAGUCCCCCCGUGCCCCCGCCCCGCCCGCCGCGCGCGGCGGGCGAGGCGGGG